ensembl:lncRNA
CUUAGGUUAUAUUUAUUGGAAACCUUGUUGGUCAAGUUCCAGACCUACAAUUGGGAAGUCUCCUCUGUUCCUUUCCUCUCCAGAGCUGGGCUACCCCCCGCCAAACAGGAGGCCCUCUUGCCCAACACUCUCCUUCUGACCUGGCUCUGAACGUGAAGACACAGGUCUUUCCGUCCCAGGCUCUAGAAAAAGUACAGUAUCACCUCUGGUCCUUCUUUUCACCUUUUCUUCUUGAGAACAAACACAGCCCCUUCUUGGUUGGUGAUAACAGGAGACGGUGACGUUCGCCAAGCACUUUCUGUGGACCAGAAGUGGACCCCUCCCCUCCGUACCUGUGCCACCUGUUUUAUCUCUCCCACUUGGCAGUCACGCACCCGUGGCUCUCAGGUUCCCCCUGUGGGUGCCUGGAGACAGCUCUCACUCUGCAGCCCACACUCUUGGAACUCCACGUCCUCUGGCCUCAACACUGCUGUGCUUGAAGAAUGGGGGAACUUCAGGUACCCCUUCUCCUCCACCACAAUCUCUCUAUUUCAGAUAGCAUAUAAUGUACAUUAUCUCUGCCUACUUAAUUCUUACUCUGUAACAUUUUUUUCCUGUUCUUCUGUCUUUGGGAGGAGGUUUUAAUGAUUGGAGAUUUUGCUUUUAAGUGUGUUCCUCUAUUAUGUGCUUUUUUAAGCUGCAGAUGAGAUGAAAAGGAACAGAAAAUGAGAGAAGAUUAAGUUUGCAAAAAUGAAAAUGAAAACUAAAGAAUUCUCAUCUUACAAACAUUAGGAUAACUCCUAUGAAACACAGCAAGAGACAAUGACAAAUGUUGAGGAUGUGGAGAAAUUGGAACACUUGGUACUUUUGGUGAUACUGUUACACUGCUGUAGAAAUCCACAAGGAGUAUUCUCAAAAUUUAUAAUACAGCUACAUAAAAAUUUUUAAAUCACUAUUUUAUGAAUAGCAUAGGUACUUGAUGAUUUGGAUUUUUUUUUAAAUUUUAAUGUCUAUUUUUGAGAGAGAGAGAGACAGAGUGUGAGCAGGGGAGUGGCAGAGAGACAGGGAGACAUAGAAUCCAAAGAGCUCCGGGCUCUGAGCUGUCAGCAUUAAGUCUGACCUGGGGCUCCAAAUCACAGACCAGGAGAUCAUCACCUGAGCUAAAGUCAAACCCUUAAAUUGGCUGAGCCACCCAUGUACCCCUUUAAUUAAAAAACUUUUUUUAGUGUUUAUUUUUGAGAGAGAGCGCAAGCAGGGGAUGGGCAGAGAGAGGGAAACACAGAUUCCGAAGCAGGCUCCAUGCUCUGAGUUGUCAGCACAGAGCCCAACACGGAGCUCCAAGUAAUGAACUGUGAGAUUAUGACCUGAGCUGAACUUGGACACUUAACUGACUGAGCCACCCAGGGGCUCCUGAAUGUGUUAUUCUUUAAAAUUCCCAAUAUGCCUCUCUUGGUUUUGAAAUCUAUAGUACUCAAGACAUUUUUUUAAAUACAAAGAACAGAGUGAAAAAAUUAUUCUCAAAUAAUUAUUAUUAUUUUGGAAAGGGGCAUUUUCCAACCUAAUGAUUUUUGUAAUCCAGUAGUUCAUUUGAGCAGGCAAUGGAAUUAAGAGUUUUUAAUAUGAGAGUAAAGUGGUUCAGAGGCAAAUUAGGGUAAACUACCUUGCAAGGAAAUUACUGAGACAAAGAAUUCCAUUUGAAAUUAGAUUCAAGAUCGAAAGGUGUAAAAACUGAGUGAACCCUUAAAGUUAAUUUUAAAAGUGAGACAAAGACUAGGCCAGAAUAAUGAACAUAAAUUUUUGAAGAGUAUGGCCUAGCAGAAGUAAAGCAAAAACUACUUUCAACUUUCUAGCUACACAAAACAAAAUCUAUUGGUGGAUGAUCCUGAGCAUGUCUUUGGCAGAAAAAUAAAUUUGGCAUCAGGAUUGAUACUUUGAUAUAUUUCAUAGGAAAAAGUAAAUAUAAACAAUUCUCAAGUGUGGAAUAUAAUAAGUGUGAAAUCUUGCAUGUUAUUUAUUAUUAUUUUUUUUUUGAUAGGAAUGGAGAAAACAUCCAUGAAAAGAGGCUAGUAAACUUCUCUUGUGGGACUUAGGUAAGAUGUAUAUGGUAAGGGGGGGGAAGUUUUCCUGGUUAGUCAAAUUGGUACAUCUAUAUUCUGAAUCUAUAUUUUCCUAUGCCUGGGUAUUUAUAUAUUUGCAUUUAUCUUGGGAAAUAUAUCACUUUCCACAGGGAUAAUACGAAGGGAGUAGAAUUAAUAGUAAUGGUUUCAAGUGUGUAAAAUCUAUUGUGAUAUCAAAGCAGUGUAAAGAAUAGGUAAUAUUGGAGAUUGGUUUUGAAAAGUAGAGCAGUGCGUAAGAAUAGAAGAAAUACAAUAGUUGGAAGCUUGCAAAAUAAAAAGUCUGAGAAACCUAUUGUGGAAGCAUUAUAUGAGCAUGUGUGUGGAAGAACAAUGGGCAUAUAGGUGACGGGAAAGGCAAGUACUUUAGUCCAGCUGGUCAGAUAAGUAAACUUUACGGAGUGUUGCAAACAUAGUUGAAAACAUUAAGAGGUAGUUGGGCAGUCAGAUGUUAUCACUGAGGUCUUAGUAGUAGUUGCUUUUCAUUAAAUCUUUUUGAUGAGUUUUAAAUGUUUCAGAAGGGAACUUUUACUAGUUAAGAGAAUCAAUCCCGCUACCACGUUGUAUUACAACAAAGAAUUUUUCCAGCAGUGGAAAUGGGUUUUGUUAACCCUGAGAAAGCCUUAAAUGCUUCAUAUUAAGUUGUUCAUUUCACUGUUAAAGAGCAGAUUUAUUUAUGUUUUAGGUUAGUAAAGAUAGAGAGGUCUCUCCCAUCAGCUCACUGACAAGUGGUUCUUUCGCCUCUUCUGAAAGUCUUUGGAUUAAGGUAAGCUUUUCAGUUAUGUCAAGGUGAAGGAGAAAAUAUAUUUGUUCUAUCCUGUGAGUAACACACUAGAUAAUACUUGGCAUGGUGUUACUGGUUUUUAAAAAAUACACUAGUAUGUCAACAUUGAAGUAAGAGCAACAUGGGAAUGGUUUACAGUCUACAUGAAAAUUGAUAAAUAUUUCAUACAUUAAAAAUAAAAUUUAAAACACCAGGAAAAUAUUAAUACGUAUAGUAAUAAACAUGCACUCAGAGAGUGGAAUAGUCCGGAUGAGAGAUGUUAGUGACUGAAGUCAAAGCAGAGACCAUGAAAUUGACGAGAUUCUAGUGUAAACAUUCUGAGACAUCAUCAGCCUCCUUUGCCUGGAUUAUCGUAGCAGCCUUCUCACUGGGCCUCUUUCACUUUUUAUUCAUUUAUAAUGUGUUGACCCCCAGAGAACUAGAGCAGUUCUGUUAAAGUCUAAUUCAGAUUCUGCGAUUCUGUCAAAAUCCUUCAGCUCCUCCCUAUGUCAUGCACGUAAGUAUUUUAAAAUAGUCACUGAAGUGAUCCUAAAAGGCUUCACUUGUGUAGACUGAAUUAAAUUCCUUCAGAACAGACAUUAAAAUCCUGUCCACCACUUCAAAAUGUAACGUGAUUGGAGUAGUGUCAUCACAGAAGAUACCUUGUUGCGAUGAGGGCGUCCGGGUGGGCCCACAGUUAAUACGACUAGCAUUUUUAUAAAUAGGAGAAAUUUGGACACAGAGACGCAUACAAAGGUCAAUGGUGUGAGGUCAUGAAAGGAGAAUGCUGAACAAGAACAGAAAGAGACCUUGGAGCGAUGCAGCUUUGCAUCAAAGAUGGAGGAUUGCUGGCCACCACCAGAAGUUAGAAUAGUUAGGGGUGGAUUAUGUUCUAGAGCCUUUGGAUGAAGCCUGACUCUGUCAACACCUCAGCCGUGUAGCUCCAGACCUGAGAUAUUAAUGUUUUUAUUUUAACCCCCCAGUUUAUGAUACUUUGUUACCAUCCUCCCUUAUUUCAUCUUCCGUUAAUCUUACUAUUAAAUUUCCUACUAUUCAUGUAGUAGGGAGUACACCCACUUUUAUGUUUUCUGGUCCUGCCAGACUGACUGCUUUCAGGUUGUUUCAGGAAAGACACUUGUAUGUGCCUUUCUUCUGUUUUUUCUCAAGAAUGACUUAAAAGUUCUGUGCAAAAAAUAGUGGGAGCUCAGAAAGACUUCUUGUUUUCUUUUUAAAAACGUUUAAUGUUUAUUUACUUUUGGGAGGGAGGCACAAGUGGAGGAAGGGCAGAGAGAGAGGGAGACAGAAUGUGAACCAGGCUCCAGGCCCCCAGCUGUCAGCUUUCAGCGCAGAGCUGACUUGGGGCUCAGACUCACAAACCAUGAGAUUAUGACCUGAGCCGAAGUCAGACGCUUAAGCGACGGAGCCACCCAGGUGCCCCAGAAAGACUUUCCUUAAGCCUUGAUAUCUAACCUGCCAUUUCCCCCCCACAGUCUCUUAGCAGCUUUUUAACAUGAAGCAUUUCCCUCUGUUCCCCCUACUCCGUUCUUGACAAUCAACUGUUUUCUCCGUUUCUAUACUUUUAUAACUUUGAGAAUGUUUAUGAGUGGAAUCAAAUUGUAUGUUACCUUUUUAGGUUGGCUUUUAAAACUUUGUAUAGUUCUCUGGUAAUGCAUUCACUUAUACUCAGUAAUACAAAGAAACUAGACAUUGUUUCCUGCUGAGUAGUAUCCCAUGGUACGGCUGUAUCAUAGUUUGUCCAUUCAUCAUUGAAGGACAUAUAGGAUGGUCUCGGUUCUUAUAUACUGGAAAUAAAGCUGCUAUAGGAUUUUAUGUGUGGGUUUUGUUUGCUUAAAUUUUUCACAGAAGUCUUUAUGCUCAAGAGUGUAUUUGCAGAGUUGUUUAUAAAAUAAUUGCCUGCUGAGUUUUAUGAGAAACUGCCAAACUAUUUUG